AGCUUUGCGCAGUGGCGAUAUCGUAACCGAUGAGGUCCAUCCGAGGUGCGAUUAUUGCUAGUUGAAAACUUUAACCAAUACCCCGCCAUGUGGACAUGAAACACUGUCCGCAUCGGCAAUUUUUACAGGCCCUAACGGGC